UACGGGGGGAGCAAGCGUUGUUCGGAUUUACUGGGCGUAAAGGGCGCGUAGGCGGCCAGCACAAGUCAGUUGUGAAAUCUCCGGGCUUAACUCGGAAAGGUCAACUGAUACUGUGCGGCUAGAGUGCAGAAGGGGCAACUGGAAUUCUCGGUGUAGCGGUGAAAUGCGUAGAUAUCGAGAGGAACACCUGCGGCGAAGGCGGCACUCUGGGCUGGUACUGACGCUGAGGAGCGAAAGCGUGGGUAGCAAACAGG
rnacentral:rRNA from 1 species